GACGAACGCUGGCGGCGUGCUUAACACAUGCAAGUCGAACGGAAAGUGCUCUUCGGAGUGACUCGAGUGGCGAACGGGUGAGUAACACGUGGGUGAUCUGCCCUGCACUUUGGGAUAAGCCUGGGAAACUGGGUCUAAUACCGAAUAUACCCUGCUGGUCGCAUGGCCUGGUGGGGGAAAGCUUUUGCGGUGUGGGAUGGGCCCGCGGCCUAUCAGCUUGUUGGUGGGGUGAUGGCCUACCAAGGCGACGACGGGUAGCCGGCCUGAGAGGGUGACCGGCCACACUGGGACUGAGAUACGGCCCAGACUCCUACGGGAGGCAGCAGUGGGGAAUCUUGGGCAAUGGGCGAAAGCCUGACCCAGCGACACUGCGUGGGUGAUGAAGAUCUUUGGAUUGUAAAACCCUUUUCCUGAAGAUGAAAGGUAGGAUUGAGAAUAUCCUUCCUACCCUGACAGUAUUCAGGGAAUAAGCCCCAGCCAACUACGUGCCAGCAGCCGCGGU
rnacentral:rRNA from 1 species